CGGACUGCCGCAGAAUAGCUU
rnacentral:miRNA from 1 species